rnacentral:rRNA from 1 species
AACGAACGCUGGCGGCAGGCUUAACACAUGCAAGUCGAACGCUCGUAGCAAUACGGGAGUGGCGGACGGGUGAGUAACGCGUGGGAACGUGCCCUGAGGUACGGAAUAACUGAGGGAAACUUCAGCUAAUACCGUAUGAGCCCCGAGAGGGGGAAAGAUUUAUCGCCUUGGGAGCGGCCCGCGUCGGAUUAGCUAGUUGGUGGGGUAACGGCCUACCAAGGCUUCGAUCCGUAGCUGGUCUGAGAGGACGAUCAGCCACACUGGGACUGAGACACGGCCCAGACUCCUACGGGAGGCAGCAGUGGGGAAUCUUGCGCAAUGGGGGGCAACCCUGACGCGGCCAUGCCGCGUGAACGAUGAAGGCCUUAGGGUUGUAAAGUUCUUUACCCGUGACGAUGAUGACGGUACCGGUAAGAAGAAGCGACCGGCUAACUACGUGCCAGCA